GGGGUAGAUGGUGAUGGGUCUCUAGCUGGGGGGGUAUGAUGGGGUAAUUAGAUCUCUAGCUACAGGGGGUAGAUGGGGGAUAGUGUGGACGUCUAGCUGAGGUGUUAGAUGGGUAGUGGAGUCUAGCUGGGGUUAGAUGGGGGUAGGUAUUUCUAGCUGGGGGUAGAUGGGGGGUAAUUAGAUCUAGCUGGGGGUAGGUAAGUAGCUCCGGAGGGUGCGCGGUCUCGGAGCCAGUGAUGGGGUGCGGGGUGUCCGGGGCUCCGUCAGUAGAAUAACGGAGAGGGUGCGGGAGCGCGCACACCCACACACAGAGCGCGGGCACGGCACCGGCUGCGUCACUCACUGCGUCACCGCUCACCGCCACUUCCGGCCAG